AUUGAACGCUGGCGGCAUGCUUUACACAUGCAAGUCGGACGAGUGGCGCACGGGUUAGUAACGCAUCGGCAAGUACCGAGUAGGGGGGGAAACUGUCUGAAAGGUCAGCUAAUACCGCAUUUCCUUCGAGUGGCCGCUGUGUGAUUGGCUGGGUGGCGGGGUAAAGGCCCACCAAGGGUACGAUCAGUAGCGGGUCUGAGAGGAUGAUCAGCCACACUGGAACUGAGACAAGGCCCAGACGCUGACGGGAGGCAGCAGUGGGGAAUUUUGGACAAUGGGCGAAAGCCGGAUGCAGCCAUGCCGCGUGGCUGAAGAAGGCCUUCGGGUUGGAAAGGACUUUUGUCGGGGAAGCGGUACCUGAAGAAUAAGCACCGGCUAACUACGUGCCAGCAGCCGCGGUAAUAC
rnacentral:rRNA from 1 species